rnacentral:lncRNA from 1 species
GAAUGUACACAGAAUGUUUGCACAUUUUCCUGUUCAGAGUACACCACCCUUGGACUUAGUACGUUUUGGGCUAUGGAUAGUUGCUAUAUUUAUAUAUUUAUUUGCAUUUGGGUAGUGUAUAUUUUUCUACAUAUAUAUCCCUUCUUUGAAAUACUUAAAAUAGCCCAUAGUAGGGAUGGAGUGGAUGGUUCAGCAGCAAGAGCUCAUUACUGUUCUGUCAGAGGACAAGAGUUUGGAUUCCAGCACCCAUAUCAGGAAGCUCACAAACGCCUAGGCUCAAGAACCAAAGGAUCAGAAUCUCCAUUCUCCUUCCCUCUUGUGGGUUUCUUUAUCCACAAGUGUGCAUGCAUAUGGCUCCAGACACAUGCACAUAGAAAAUAAUCAAAAAUUGAAAUAACCUAUAAUAAAAACAAGUUUUUCCUUACAAUUUCUUAAAGAUAGUAUAGUUCUAACAUGCAAGCAUGUCUCAAAUGUUCUACCCCUCGCUCAUGUCCAUAUAACAGAAAAGUGCUAAAAUAUUUGAAUAAUAAGAAUGUACAUAAUUGAAGAAAUAUUUGGAAUUAAGCAACAUACUUGCAGAAUGCCAAAGAAUGUUGAGAUCAUAGUUCAUUAGCUACAAAGAUAGAAAAUUUAAAGGUAUCAUAGUUUGAUGAACAGUCUUGAAGGUCUAUUUCCUUUGUGUAUAUGAAAAUAAAAUAAUGCAUGUAAUGUCAACUGCUUGAAUAAUUUCUGACUUUCUAGUGAAAGCCAUCUUUGGUUCUAGCUAACAAAGCCUACUUUUUCGGAAAGGGAUAUAAACGUUUUAUCUGUAGCUAACGAUUAGUGAUCCGAUAUUUACCAGGCAUGCUAACUAAUGCUGUGAUGAUCUACCUGUCAUUGUGUUAGUCAGAGAAAUGUAAGACCACAAGUAAAGAAACCUAUUCAGUGUUUCCUUUGAAAAAUCUAUUGCAUCAUGACAUUAUUGACACAUAUUACCCGCAUGCAAUCAUUAAAUUCCAGUGAAGUUACUACCAAUUAACCUAGUGGGUAAUAUUGAUCAAAUGGUAAUUACCAGAUAGUCAUUCCGAGCAUAUGUUUUCUAUAGGAAUUAUCAGCACUUUAGACACUGGGAAUCAAAUUUGUGGCAGAACCUCACAAAUCCAGUGCACAGCCACUUCAGGUAGGAUGCUACAUCUUUCCAAAUAACCCCAGUCUCUCUUUCCUUUGUUCACCAGGAAUUUCUUUUUUAAAUUAAUUAAUUAAUUUACAUCCCAAGUGCUGCUCUUCCUCCUGGGUCCUCCAUCACACCUCUCUCCCAAUCCCCUUCCCCUUCUCUUCUGAGAGAGUUGAUUCCCCACCCACCCUGAGUAUCUCCCCACUCUGGCACAUGAAGUCUCAGCCUGAUUAGGCACAUCCACUCCCACUGAGACCAGACAAGACAGCCAUGAAGUCUGAACUGCCUGAGUGCAAUGUAUGUCUGUAACCAGGGAUAUUUUUUUACAGAGGACUCUCUAGUUCUGACAACAGUCCCUAAUACCUGGGGAAGAAGAAGUAUACCUGACCUCAAGAAAACAUUUGGAGUCUUUUACUGUUUCAACUGAUGGCCUCUGAGAAGCCCAUGAGCUCUGACUGCAGAGACUGUCCUUUCUGAAGGGGGUGUGAUCACUGCUAUCUCUCUAAUUAACUGAUCAUUACCUUUCCUGGUUUAUGGUAAAUUCUUUUACAUUCUAGGCCAAAGGGUUUCUUUUUGUGACGUAUAAAAUGGGAAAAUUAAUUUAUGCAUACACCCUGUCCCGCACUCAGGCUCUGAGUGAUUUAGAACUUACCAGACUUGCUUAACUUCAAAGUAGCUUGACACCAUCUGAGCUAGUGCCAGUUGACCAUAUCAGCAGUAAUGUGGAAUGAAAUCAUAUAUGUGGCAUGUAUAGUUUUUUUCCCUGCGGCUAUGAGUUUUCUACUUUUCUGUGUAGACACCAUUUAUUUCUGUUACCAGAUAGAAGGAAAGAGAAUAGUGCAUAUAUAUCUAGAGAUCUUGAUAUCUAGAACUCUAGUGUAUUCAUAUCUUUGGAAAUCAGCAUUGUGCUUACUUUACAGGUAUAUUUUUGUCACUAGCUUUAGAGCAUGGCUGACUUGGAUGAUCUUUCUAUAUCUAAAAUUCAUUUGCUGUGUAGUCAUGGACAUUUCUUCUUAAAAAAAAAUCUAUUAUCUUCCAUAACCUAGUUAUCCUUGUGUUUUAGAAUAUAAUAUGUAUUCUAUCAUGUAAAAUAUAUUCGAGAUACAUCACCUCUUGUAGUACUCUCAGUAGAAGUAACUACAUACUCUGUAAAGACACAUCUGAGUUAUAAGCCAUUGUGGGCAUGCUUACAUGCAUUCAUGCAGUUUCUCUGUUUUUCGCAAAAGUUUUGUCUGUAUUACAUAAAAAUUGUGUUUCAUCAACGCAGUGUUAUUUUGAUUUUAUUUUCCUAUAAUAGUUUUAAAAAUAGCCAGACAUACAUUUGGUAAGCUUUAUUGUUGAACAUCUUAGGACAUAAAAUCAGCUAGAAGUUGCAAGCAUCUGAUAGAGGCCAGCACGGAAGUUCAUAUUUAGUGACCAAAAUCCAAUGUUGGUUUUUCUUCACUAUAUCUUAAAGGAUUCAUUCCAACUCUGCUGCUCCAAAUAUAAUUUCUAAUCAAGUUUUCUUAUGUAAAGGAAAACUUCUUGGCAUUACAGAUUAUUUUCUUUUAUUCAUGAUGUGAAGCAGUCCCAAUUCUUCCAGAAUGUUAACCUCUUCAUUCUAAAGCUACUGGAUACAGAAAACUUUUCCAGAUCAAUCCAUCUGAACAUACUACCAUCUUUCCACAACUCCUUUGUUAUAUUCUAUAGACUUUUUAUGAUAAUUACUUUUCUACUCCGAAAUAUAAUUAUGGACUCCAUGUCUCACCUUUCUUAAUAUAUUUGAAAGCUCCUUUAAAGUGGGGCACACACUUGAUGGUUGAUAUGUCAGUUGUUUAGUUUUGCACCUAGUAGUAAAUCCACAUUCUUUUUUUAUUUCCAGUCCAAGAUAUGUAUAUACGUAAUUAAAAAAGCUCCUCUUCGUUCAGUGUGUAUAAUACAGUCUGUGACGGUACAUUUUAGGGAUAUGCUCCUGUUGGUAUUGCAUUUAUUUCUUUCAGAAGGAACACAUUCAUAAGGAGAUACUGACAGCUCAUAUCUUCCAGAGGACAGAGAGUCUAUUUUCUUUAACAGCAUCACCCUUGGAAGGUCAACCAUGCUUUAGAGGAUAGCCCUAGACCCAUAAAUAGAUGGGUAAUACACAUUAAAGUCAGAGCAUCAUUUAAAAAAGCAGGGCAUGAAAUUGGGAAGGGGGGGGAGGUGGGAAUCGAUAUCGGAGGAGAUAGAGAGUAGUUGGAGGUAAAUCGGAUCCAAAUGCUUUGUAUGAAGUCUCAAAGUCUCGAAGAAUUAUUAAAAAUAUUAUGUUUAAAACUGUAAAAGCUAAAUGAUGAGAUGUAUACAUUCAUAAUUAGUAUUCUGCACAAGCCUUUCUGUGCAUCUUCCUUUUAUGAAUUUUUAUUAGAACAUGCGCAUGCUCAUUGCCGUUUGUAUCUCAAGCUUGUGAUUUUCCUGUACAGUUUAUGUUGAAGAGAUGAAUAUUGAAAUCACGCCAUAAUUUUAAUCAGUGUAUAUUAUAAGUGGAAUAUAAACUAUAACUACCUUUAUAAAAUGGUGUGUAUUAAUACAAUAGUAAAUACUACUAAAUAGUAAAGCUAUUUCUACGCUAGUGACUGGCAGUGAGUACUAAUCAGCCUUUCACAGGAUAUCAAAAACAUUUGACUUCCCAUAUUUAAACCUUAAGCAAAAAUGAAAUCAGAAAACAAUUUAAAUAUUUAAAAGCUGACCGGAAUUGUAAUAUGAAGGAACUCAGCUACUCAUUUAUGUUGGACUUUUUGACAUAUACUCAAAUAUUUUGAAUCAUAGUUUAUUCCUUACUUGAAAAUGGAUAUAAUACCACAUGGCCUGCCUACUCUUGAGUUUCUGGGAGGUUUACUUAUGAUUACAUAAGCAAAACGACUUUCAGACUCUGAACGCUUAUUAAAACUGACAAUGAUGCUGGAUGCUAGUCUAAGAAAAAUCGAUCAUGUGUCUGAGAGAAGUGUUCACAUAGCCCUACGCCUUUCUCUGCUCCAGCUAAGUACUUUGUCCUUAAGAAACACUGGCUGAAAGCUUCAUAAACACUGUAGCAUUGGAAGAGCUGAGCACAGACGACACAUUCCUGUCCCUCCGUUCCCGGUACAUACACCAUUCUCAAAAGUACUUACUAUGUGUGCACAAAGUGUAGGAGUAACCCCACCACCACCACCAACAGUUUGCGUGGGUGGGGGAGCAGGUGGGGGGCUUUUGGGAUAGCAUUGGAAAUGUAAAUGAAAUAAAUACCUAAUU